UACGGGGGGGAGCAAGCGUUGUUCGGAUUUACUGGGCGUAAAGGGCGCGUAGGCGGUCGUGACAAGUCACUUGUGAAAUCUCCGGGCUUAACUCGGAACGGUCAAGUGAUACUGUCGUGCUAGAGUACAGAAGGGGGCAACUGGAAUUCUCGGUGUAGCGGUGAAAUGCGUAGAUAUCGAGAGGAACACCUGCGGCGAAGGCGGGUUGCUGGGCUGAUACUGACGCUGAGGCGCGAAAGCUAGGGGAGCGAACGGG
rnacentral:rRNA from 1 species